rnacentral:rRNA from 1 species
UUCCCUUCGGGCUUUCUGCAAGGUGCUGCAUGGUUGUCGUCAGCUCGUGCCGUGAGGUGCCGGGUUAAGUCCCAUAACGAGCGCAACCCUUAUCGUUAGUUGCCAUCUGGUAAUGCAGGGGACUCUAGCGAAACUGCCACCGUAAGGUGAGAGGAAGGUGGGGAUGACGUCAAAUCAGCACGGCCCUUAUGUCCAGGGCUACACACGUGUUACAAUGGUCGGUACAGAGGGCAGCUACCUGGUGACAGGAUGCUAAUCUCGAAAACCGGUCUCAGUUCGGAUCGAAGUCUGCAACUCGACUUCGUGAAGCUGGAUUCGCUAGUAAUCGCGCAUCAGCUAUGGCGCGGUGAAUACGUUCCCGGGCCUU